rnacentral:rRNA from 1 species
GGUGUAGGUGGCUUGGUAAGUUAGAUGUGAAAGCCCCGGGCUCAACCCGGGAAGUGCAUCUAAAACUGCUUAGCUUGAGUACGGGAGAGGGAAGCAGAAUUCCUGGUGUAGUGGUGAAAUACGUAGAUAUCAGGAGGAACACCGGUGGCGAAGGCGGUUUCCUGGCCCAGUACUGACACUCAGACCCGAAAGCGUGGGUAGCAAACA